rnacentral:hammerhead_ribozyme from 1 species
AUCCAUCUGGCGAGUCCCAAAUGGAGCGAAACGCUAGUCGUGGAU